CAAGGCUUGACAUACACCGGAAAGCAUCAGAGAUGGUGCCCCCCUUGUGGUCGGUGUACAGGUGGUGCAUGGCUGUCGUCAGCUCGUGUCGUGAGAUGUUGGGUUAAGUCCCGCAACGAGCGCAACCCUUGUUCUGUGUUGCCAGCAUGCCCUUCGGGGUGAUGGGGACUCACAGGAGACUGCCGGGGUCAACUCGGAGGAAGGUGGGGACGACGUCAAGUCAUCAUGCCCCUUAUGUCUUGGGCUGCACACGUGCUACAAUGGCCGGUACAAUGAGCUGCGAUGCCGCGAGGCGGAGCGAAUCUCAAAAAGCCGGUCUCAGUUCGGAUUGGGGUCUGCAACUCGACCCCAUGAAGUCGGAGUUGCUAGUAAUCGCAGAUCAGCAUUGCUGCGGUGAAUA
rnacentral:rRNA from 1 species